AGUGAACGCUGGCGGCAGGCCUAACACAUGCAAGUCGAACGGCAGCACAGUAAGAGCUUGCUCUUACGGGUGGCGAGUGGCGGACGGGUGAGGAAUACAUCGGAAUCUAUUUUUUCGAGGGGGAUAACGUAGGGGAACUUACGCUAAUACCGCAUACGACCUACGGGUGAAAGCAGGGGAUCUUAGGAUCUUGCGUGAUUGUAUGAGCCGAGGUCGGAUUAGCUAGUUGGCGGGGUAAAGGCCCACCAAGGCGACGAUCCGUAGCUGGUCUGAGAGGAUGAUCAGCCACACUGGAACUGAGACACGGUCCAGACUCCUACGGGAGGCAGCAGUGGGGAAUAUUGGACAAUGGGCGCAAGCCUGAUCCAGCCAUACCGCGUGGGUGAAGAAGGCCUUCGGGUUGUAAAGCCCUUUUGUUGGGAAAGAAAAGCAGCAGGUUAAUACCCCGCUGUUCUGACGGUACCCAAAGAAUAAGCACCGGCUAACUUCGUG
rnacentral:rRNA from 1 species